GGAGAAAAAUAAAUCUCAAAGGGUAAGGAGUGCUGGUGUGGGGUAAUGAGAGAAGAUAUGACUAAAAGAUGAGAUCUGAGUGAUGACAUGGAACAGCUCAGAGUGUGUUCCAUUUGGAUUUCUGGAGGAAGUUUCCAGACCCAGGAAGCAGCAUGUGCAAAGGUCCUCAGAUAGGUACAUGCCUGGAGUGUUGGAGGCUGGCAGCAGGAGGUAAAGAGAGGGCACCAGGGGCAUUGCCGAUGGCCCCAGGCUUGGGUGCUUGUCCCCAUGUCUCUCAAGAAGGGACGAGAAAUCCGUCGCCACCUCAGGGAAGAGCCUGGGAGAUGGUUUAGAAAUGUCCCAUCAGACCUGAAGCCUGUGGGUCCAGAAGACACAUUUGAUCGGAUCCAACCUUUGGAAGAUCUGCUUGGAAAUUUCCCACUUCGUGUCCUGAGUCCAGGAACCCAGCAGUGGAAUUUUGUAG
rnacentral:lncRNA from 1 species